AAAUCAAGACAGCACAUGGUAGAAGCCAAAAAGAAUGGAUGAAAACUACAAGACAAAUGAUGAAAUUUGAACCUAAAAAUCAAGAAACUUGGCACAAAACAAGGAGGCGGCAAUCUAAUGAUUUUAUGAAGACAAAACAGCAAGAAAUAAGAGUCAAAACAGUGGCACAAAAUGAACAUGACAGCAAAGAAAAUCACACACCCAAGAAGCAAAUUCACAUCAACAUACUAGAUAUGCAUGAAGAGCAAGAUCUAAUUAAUGCUGGAAAUAAUUUUGGCAAACCUCAAACUUAAAAAUUUUGUAUGUUUGAAGAUAAAAGAGGCUUUUAAAGAUGUAAUCCCACACACCAAACAAUAAGGAAGCUCUCGGCCAAGCACACCAAACAACAACCAGUUUUAUUGUUGAUUUUAUUUUCAUACAGCAAAGAACUCUUGGUAAAAGUGUCUCGGCCAAGCAAAUUUAAU
rnacentral:lncRNA from 1 species